rnacentral:rRNA from 1 species
AACGAACGCUGGCGGCAUGCCUAACACAUGCAAGUCGAACGAAGGCUUCGGCCUUAGUGGCGCACGGGUGCGUAACGCGUGGGAAUCUGCCCUUAGGUUCGGAAUAACAGCUGGAAACGGCUGCUAAUACCGGAUGAUAUCGCGAGAUCAAAGAUUUAUCGCCUGAGGAUGAGCCCGCGUUGGAUUAGGUAGUUGGUGGGGUAAAGGCCUACCAAGCCGACGAUCCAUAGCUGGUCUGAGAGGAUGAUCAGCCACACUGGGACUGAGACACGGCCCAGACUCCUACGGGAGGCAGCAGUGGGGAAUAUUGGACAAUGGGCGAAAGCCUGAUCCAGCAAUGCCGCGUGAGUGAUGAAGGCCCUAGGGUUGGAAAGCUCUUUUACCCGGGAAGAUAAUGACUGUACCGGGAGAAUAAGCCCCGGCUAACUCCGUGCCAGCCGCCGCCGUAACAC